ACUUGGCUGGCUCAGUCGGUAGAGCGUGUGACUCUUGAUCUCAGGGUCAUGAGUUUGAGCCCCACGUUGCGUG
rnacentral:tRNA from 1 species